rnacentral:misc_RNA from 1 species
GGGGCCUGGGGCCUGGAGCAUGUGUUUCAUGCUGUUUAUGCUUAUUCUAUUUGAAUGGAAAGACUGUUUAUGUGGAUCCUAAUCCUAUCAUCAUAUUCCUCUUGUUUUUCACUCAUAUAAGUUUGGUCCGUGACCAAGGGCAAUCAACGAAUUAGGGUUUGUGUACACACAACAUUCGGUAACAAUGUCUGUUGGGAGUGGAGGAGACAAAACACUGGAGGCAAUCUGUUAUAGGCGCGGCUCACUUCAGUUACUUGAUCAACGAAAACUCCCCCUAGAGACUCUUCAUCUGGAUAUCCACGAUACAAACGAUGCCUGGGAUGCAAUUAAGGAAAUGGUUGUCCGUGGGGCACCUGCAAUUGCUAUAGCUGCUGCACUGUCUUUGGCAGUAGAAGUUUCAAAUUUAGCUUCUUUUGAUGGGACUUCUCAUGAUGCAUCAGUUUUCCUUAGUAAAAAAUUGGAUUUUCUUGUUUCAAGUCGUCCGACAGCUGUUAAUCUUUCAGAUUCUGCAGUAAAGCUUAAAGAAGUUAUAAGCAAGGCUGCUGCCAUAGCCAAAGAAGCCAAUUCAGUGUUUCAGGCUUACAUUGAAGCUGCUGAAGUUAUGCUGGAGGAUGAUGUUACUUCCAAUAAGGCAAUUGGUUCAUAUGGAGCUAGUUUUAUUAAGAAUUACCUGACAGACUCUAAGAAUAUAACAAUUUUGACCCAUUGCAACACCGGAAGUCUUGCCACAGCUGGAUAUGGAACUGCUCUUGGUGUUAUCCGGGCACUUUAUGCUGACGGAGCUUUAGAAAGGGCAUACUGCACAGAAACCCGUCCAUUCAAUCAGGGAUCCAGAUUGACUGCAUUUGAAUUGGUUCAUGAGAACAUCCCAGCCACCCUUAUAGCUGAUUCAGCUGCAGCUGCAUUAAUGAAUGCUGGUCGUGUGAAAGCUGUCAUUGUUGGAGCUGAUCGUAUAGCUGCAAAUGGUGAUACUGCCAAUAAGAUUGGAACUUACAACCUUGCUGUUUCUGCCAUGCAUCAUGGUAUACCAUUUUACGUUGCAGCGCCUUUGACUUCUGUUGAUCUAUCUCUUUCUUCUGGACAAGAAAUUGUGAUAGAAGAAAGAUCUCCAAAGGAACUGUUACAUACACGAGGAGGACUUGGUGAACAAGUUGCUGCCUCUGGUAUUUUGGUUUGGAACCCUGCAUUUGAUGUCACCCAAGCUAAGUUGAUUAGUGGAAUCAUCACUGAGAAGGGUGUCAUCACGAAGAAUGGGACAGACACUUUUGAUAUUGCUGGGUUUGUGCGCAAGACAGCAGGAAAUUUGUGAUGCUGGUUUUGUUAAAUGUUUGUUUAGUUGAUAUUUCUUGAGCUUUGCUAAACCCCUCCAUCUUAGAGUGAGUAAAAAGUACUGACAAGGCAACAUCUAUUUCACUCCAAUAAUGUUAAUCUAUUGUGGUCCUAUAUGAACAUGGAAAAUUGUUUUGCUAUGGGUAAGUAACAGUAAUAUGCCAUGUCCCCAUUGGCAUCCGUAUUUUGUCAAUAAAAAUGUUUGUCAA